GACCUAAAGCUGACCCUGAUCCGGUCGGUCACUGAGAUCAGCCGUGCCAUCCAGGAGGCAGACGACUCCCAGAGCUUCCAGUUUGCUUACAAAGAGGAGCUCCUGGGGUACAUGCUGGACUUCGUGAAAGAGGAACCAAUGGAUUCCUUGGCCUCUCCUGUUCGCCUCAGGGCCAUGCUUGCCAUUAAGCACCUGAGCAAGGUGAAACCCUCACUAAAUCGGGAUGAGAACAGAAACAUCCUGGAUGACUGCUUAAAAUGCCUGCUGCCUCUUCCAGCUGUUCAGCAGCUGAGGGAAGAGGGUGAGACCUCUCAGGACUCUGUUCA